AUUGAACGCUGGCGGCAGGCCUAACACAUGCAAGUCGAACGAGUGGCGGACGGGUGAGUAAUGUCUGGGAAACUGCCUGAUGGAGGGGGAUAACUACUGGAAACGGUAGCUAAUACCGCAUACCAUCGGAUGUGCCCAGAUGGGAUUAGCUAGUAGGUGGGGUAACGGCUCACCUAGGCGACGAUCCCUAGCUGGUCUGAGAGGAUGACCGGCCACACGGGAAAGGAGACACGGUCCAGACUCCUCGGGGAGGAAGCAUGGGGGAAUAUGGCACAAGGGGGGCAAGCCUGACGCAGCCAGGCCGCGUGUAUGAAGAGGUCCUUCGGGUUGUAAAGUACUUUCAGCGGGGAGGCGUUACCCGCAGAAGAAGCACGGGCUAACUCCGUGCAAGCAGCCGCGGUAAUU
rnacentral:rRNA from 1 species